AUGUGCGCCCAACAAGGAGCACGAGGGGUGUGCAGUGUGAGCAACACGAGUGUGCCACGUGCACCCAAUGAGCAGCACGAGGGGUGUGCAAUGUGCGCCCAACGAGGAGCACGAGGGGUGUGCAGUGUGAGCAACACGAGUGUGCCACGUGCACCUCGUGAGCAGCACGAGGACUGUGCCAUGAGCACUGUGAGCAGCACGAGGGGUGUGCCGUGUGAGCAACAUGAGGAGCGUGCCACGUGCACUGUGAGCAGCACGAGGGGUGUGCUGUGUGAGCAACACGAGUGUGCCAUGUGCACCCAAUGAGCAGCACGAGGUGUGUGCUGUGUGAGCAACACGAGGACUGUGCCAUGAGCACUGUGAGCAGCACGAGGACUGCGCCACAUGCACCCAAUGAGCAACACGAGAGGUGUGCAAUGUGCACCCAAUGAACAGCAUGAGGGGUGUGCUGUGUGAGCAACACGAGGACUGUGCCACAUGCACCCAGAUGAGGAGCACGAGGGGUGUGCAAUGUCCACCCCAUGAGCAACACGAGGAGUGUGCCAUGAGCACUGUGAGCUGCACGAGGUGUGUGCCGUGUGAGCAACACGAGUGUGCCACGUGCACCCCGUGAGCAGCACGAGGAGCGUGCCAUGUGCACUGUGAGCAGCAUGAGGGGUGUGCAAUGUGCGCCCAACGAGGAGCACGAGGGGUGUGCAGUGUGAGCAACACGAGUGUGCCACGUGCACCCAAUGAGCAGCACGAGGACCGUGCCAUGAGCACUGGGAGCUGCACGAGGUGUGUGCUGUGUGAGCAACACGAGGAGUGUGCAAUGUGCACACAGAUGAGGAGCACGAGGGGUGUGCAAUGUGCACCCCAUGAGCAACACGAGGUGUGUGCCGUGUGAGCAACACAAGGGGUGUGCCAUAAGCACUGUUAGUAGCACGAGGUGUGUGCCGUGUGAGCAACACGACUGUGCCACGUGCACCUCGUGAGCAACACAAGGACUGUGCCAUGAGCACUGUGAGCAGCACGAGGACUGCGCCACAUGCACCCAAUGAGCAACACGAGAGGUGUGCAGUGUGCACCCAAUGAGCAGCACGAGGGGUGUGCUGUGUGAGCAACACGAGGAGUGUGCCACGUGCACCCAGAUGAGGAGCACGAGGGGUGUGCUGUGUGAGCAACACGAGGAGUAUGCCAUGAGCACUGGGCGCAGCACGAGGUGUGUGCCAUGUGCACUCCAUGAGCAGCACGAGGGGUGUGCCGUGUGAGCAACACAAGUGUGCCACGUGCACCCAAUGAGCAGCACGAGGACUGUGCCAUGAGCACUGGGAGCUGCACGAGGUGUGUGCUGUGUGAGCAACACGAGGAGUGUGCCAUGUGCACCCAGUGAGCAGCACGAGGAGUGCACCGUGUGAGCAACACAACUGUGCCAUGUGCACCCAAUGAACAGCACAAGGGGUGUGCAAUGUGCACUCCAUGAGCAGCACGAGGGGUGUGCCGUGUGAGCAACACGAGGAGUGUGCCACGUGCACCCAGUGAGCAGCACGAGGAGCGUGCCAUGUGCACUGUGAGCAGCACAAGGGGUGUGCAAUGUGCGCCCAACGAGGAGCACGAGUGGUGUGCCGUGUGAGCAACACGAGGAGCGUGCCACGUGCACCCAGAUGAGGAGCACGAGGGGUGUGCCAUGUGAGCAACACGAGUGUGCAAUGUGCACCCCGUGAGCAACACGAGGACCGUGCCAUGAGCACUGUGAGCAGCACGAGGACUGCACCGCGUGCGCGCCAUGAGCAGCGCCGUGUGAGACGUGGGGCCACGCAGGGGAUGUGCUGUGGGGCCGCCCGUCG
rnacentral:lncRNA from 7 species